rnacentral:rRNA from 1 species
AAUGUUGCACAAUGGGCGAAAGCCUGAUGCAGCAACGCCGCGUGAGGGAUGACGGCCUUCGGGUUGUAAAGCUCUUUCAGCGGGGGAGAAGCGUAAGUGACGGUACCUGCAGCGAAAGCACCGGCUAACUCCGCGCCAGCAGCCGCGGUAAUACGUAGGGUGCAAGCGUUGUCCGGAAUUAUUGGGCGUAAAGAGCUCGUAGGCGGCUUGUCGAGUCUGAUGUGAAAUCCCAGGGCUCAACCGCGGGGGGGCAGUGGGUACUGGGAGACUAGAGUGCAGAAGAGGAAAUUGGAAUUCCAAGUGUAGCGGUGAAAUGCGUAGAGAUCAGGAGGAACACCAGUGGCGAAGGCAACUUUCUGGGCCGCAACUGACGCUGAGGAGCGAAAGCGUGGGGAGCAAACA